AGCAGCCGCGGUAAUUCCAGCUCCAAUAGCGUAUAUUAAAGUUGUUGCAGUUAAAAAGCUCGUAGUUGAAUUUCGGGACCAAUCUGCCGGUCGUGCCUCCGGUACGCACUGGUUUUAUUGGUUUCUCCCUUCUGACGAACCAUGAUGUCAUUAAUUUGGUGUCAUGGGGAAUCAGGACUGUUACUUUGAAAAAAUUAGAGUGUUUAAAGCAGGCUCACGCUUGAAUACAUUAGCAUGGAAUAAUGAAAUAGGACGUUUGAUUCUAUUUUGUUGGUUUCUAGGAUUGACGUAAUGAUUAAUAGGGAUAGUUGGGGGCAUUAGUAUUCAAUUGUCAGAGGUGAAAUUCUUGGAUUUAUUGAAGACUAACUACUGCGAAAGCAUUUGCCAAGGAUGUUUUCAUUAAUCAAGAACGAAAGUUAGGGGAUCGAAGACGAUCAGAUACCGUCGUAGUCUUAACCAUAAACUAUGCCGACUAGGGAUCGGAUGAUGUUAAUUUUUUAAUGACUCAUUCGGCGCCUUA
rnacentral:rRNA from 1 species